UACAGAGGGGGCAAGCGUUGUUCGGAAUUACUGGGCGUAAAGGGCGCGUAGGCGGCCUUCUAAGUCGAACGUGAAAUCCCCGGGCUCAACCCGGGAACUGCGUCCGAUACUGGAAGGCUUGAAUCCGGGAGAGGGAUGCGGAAUUCCUGGUGUAGCGGUGAAACGCGCAGAUAUCAGGAGGAACACCAAUGGCGAAGGCAGCACUCUGGGACGUGACUGACGCUGAGACGCGAAAGCGUGGGGAGCAAACAGG
rnacentral:rRNA from 1 species